GGCCACAUCACGUUGAAACAUCGGUUCCCGUACGAUUGCCGAAGUUAAGCAACGUCGAGCCUGGUUAAUACCUAGAUAGGUGACUGCUUGGAAAUACCAGAUGCUGUAAG